rnacentral:rRNA from 1 species
AAUGAACGUUGGCGGCGUGGAUUAGGCAUGCAAGUCGAGCGCUCAUAGCAAUAUGGGAGCGGCGAACGGCGUAGUAAUACGUAGGAACGUACCCUCGGGUCGAGGAUAGCUAUGGGAAACUGUAGGUAAUACUCGAUAACCUCUGCGGAGCAAAGGUGUGAUUCCGCCCGAGGAGCGGCUUACGCGAUAUUAGCUGGUUGGUAGGGUAAUGGCCUACCAAGGCGAUGAUGUCUAGGGGGUGUGAGAGCAUGGCCCCCACGACCGGAACUGAGAUACUGUCCGGACACCUACGGGUGGGCUGCAGUCGAGAAUCUUCCGCAAUGGACGAAAGUACUGACGGAGCGACGCCGCGUGCGGGAUGAAGG